GCUGGGAUUACAGGCGUGAGCCACCGGACCCGGCCUUAUUUUCUUUAUUCAAAGGAAAUAGAAUCAGUAUGUCAAAGAGAUAUCUGCACCUUCAUGUGCAUUGUAGCAUCAUUCACAAUAACUAAGAUAUGGAAUCAACCUAAAUGUCCAUUCAGGGAUGAAUGGAUAAAGAAGAUGUGGUAUAUAUGUACAAUAGAAUAGUAUUUAGGCUUAAAUAAUAAGAAAAUCCUGUUAUUUUCAACAACAUGAGGGAACUUGGCAACAUUAUGCUAACUGAAAUAAUCCUGGCAGAGAAAGACAAUACUGUAUGAUAUUACUUAUAUGCAGAAUCCAAAAAAGUUCAACUCAUAGAAGCAGAGAGUAAAAUAGUAGUUACCAGGGGCUACGGUGGGGAUGAGGUGGAAGAAAAUGUAGAGAUGUUGGUCUAAAGGUACAAUAUUUCAAUUAGGAUGAAUAAGUUAUGGAGAUCUAUUGUACAGCAUGGUGACCAUAGUUAAUAAUGUAUACUUGAAAAUUGCUAAGAGAGUAUAUUUUAAAUGCUGUCACCACUAAAAAAGUGAUAAAUAUAUGCAGUGCUAAAUAUGUUGAUUACUUUGGUUUAAACAUUUCACAGUGUAUACAUAUAUUAAAACAUCACAUUGUACACCAUAAAUACAUACAAUUUUUGUCAUUAUAGCUUAAGAAGCCAGAAGGAAAAAAAGACUGUCUUUGAAAUGAAUGAAAACAAAAACCCAACACAACAAAAAAAAUAUGGGAUAUGGCUAAAACAAUGGUUAAAGGAGGAAUUUAUAGCUGUAAAUAUCUAUUAAAAAAAGAAAAAAAUCUCCAAUCAAUAAUAAGACCUCCAAUUUAAAGACACUGAAAACAAAACAGUCAACUAAAUCUAAAGCAAGCAGAAGGAAGGAAAUAAACAAGAUUAGGAUGUGAUAUGGGUUUGGGUCCAUGUCCCCACCCAAAUCUCAUCUUAAAUUGUAAUCCCCACAUGUCAAGAGAGGGACCUGGUGGGAGGUGAUUGGAUCAUGGAGGUGGUUUCUCCCAUGCUGUUCUUGUGAUAGUUAGGGAGUUCUCACAAGAUCUGAUGGUUUUAAAAGUGGGAGUUUUUUCUGCACUCACCAGGUCUCUCCUGCCACCUUGUGAAGAAGGCAUCUGCUUCCCCUUCACCUUUCUCCAUGAUCGUAAGCUUCCUAAGGCCUCCAAAGCCAUGCAGAACUGUGAGUCAAUUAAACUUCUUUUUGUUUAUAAAUUACUCAGUCUCAGGUAAAUAUCUUUAUAGCAGUGUGAAAAUUGACUACUACAGAGAAUUGGUACUAGGAGUGCGGUAAUGCUAUAAAGAUAACCUGAAAAUGUUGAAGUGACUUUAGAACUGGGUAACAGGUAGAGGUUGGAAUAGUUUGGAGGGCUCAGAAGAAGACAGAAAGACAUGGGAAAGUUUGGAACUUCUUAGAGACUUAUUAAAUGGUUUUGACCAAAGUGCUGACAGUGAUAUAGACAAUGAAGUCCAGGCUGAUGUGGU
rnacentral:lncRNA from 1 species